rnacentral:rRNA from 1 species
AACGAACGCUGGCGGUAUGCUUAACACAUGCAAGUCGAACGGAUUGCAAGAGCUUGCUCUUGUUAAUUAGUGGCAAACGGGUGAGUAAUGUAAAGGAAUCUGCCCAGCAGUAUGGGAUAACUUUGGGAAACCAAAGCUAAUACCAUAUAUUACCCUACGGGGGAAAGAUUUAUCGCUGUUGGAUGAGCCUUUAUCGGAUUAGCUUGUUGGUAGGGUAAUGGCCUACCAAGGCAAUGAUCCGUAGCUGGUCUGAGAGGAUGAUCAGCCACACUGGAACUGAGACACGGUCCAGACUCCUACGGGAGGCAGCAGUGGGGAAUAUUGGACAAUGGGGGCAACCCUGAUCCAGCAAUACCGCGUGAGUGAUGACGGCCUUCGGGUUGUAAAGCUCUUUUAGUAGAGAAGAUAAUGACGGUAUCUACAGAAAAAGCACCGGCUAACUUCG